AACGAACGCUGGCGGCGGGCCUCAUACAUGCAAGUCGAGCGCGAAAGUCCGCAAGGAUGAGUAAAGCGGCGCACGGGUGAGUAACACGUGGGUAAUCUACCUUUUGGAUUGGAAUAACCUGUCGAAAGACGGGCUAAUGCCGAGUAUGCCUUCUUGAACGUGAAGUUCGAGACGGGAAAGAUGGCGCAAGCUAUCGCCGAAAGAUGAGCCUGCGCCCCAUUAGUUAGUUGGUGGGGUAAUGGCUUACCAAGACAAUGAUGGGUACCUGGUUUGAGAGAAUGAUCAGGCACACUGGAACUGAAACACGGUCCAGACUCCUACGGGAGGCAGCAGUAGGGAAUAUUGCGCAAUGGACGAAAGUCUGACGCAGCCACGCCGCGUGAGUGAGGAAGGCCUCGGGUUGUAAAGCUCUGUCGGCUGGGAAAACGGACUAUCCGGGGUAAAGUUCGGGUAGCGUGAUGGUACCAGC
rnacentral:rRNA from 1 species